ACUGGGAUAGCUGGGUCAAAUGGUGGUUCCAUUCUAAGCUUUCCAAGUAAUUUCCAUACUGCUUUCCAGAUUGGUUGCACCAAUUUGCAUUCCCACCAGCAAU
rnacentral:pre_miRNA from 1 species